ACAGGCUACACAUUGCCUUGAGGAGAGCUUCAGGAACGUUGCUCUGUGCACUUCAGAAGGCUGCCCAGACUCUGUUGUGAGUGACAUUUAAACCCAACUGAAUCAAUGAGACAGACUGCUUUGGGGCUCCCAGAUUCAUAGUUUCCAUCCUUGACCUGUGGAUCCAAGUGGAUAACGCGGAAGGGUGACCGCACAGGAAGUGAUGCGAUGUCCUCCCAUCAGUCUCUGCAGCUGGAGGAACACCUGGCAGAGCACAGAUGGAUCAGUUAAUAACUUUACUGUACUCUCCGCAAAGACAAAUAACUCCCCAGAAACAGAC